UACGGAGGGGGCUAGCGUUGUUCGGAAUUACUGGGCGUAAAGCGCACGUAGGCGGCUUUGUAAGUUAGAGGUGAAAGCCCGGGGCUCAACUCCGGAAUUGCCUUUAAGACUGCAUCGCUAGAAUUGUGGAGAGGUAAGUGGAAUUCCGAGUGUAGAGGUGAAAUUCGUAGAUAUUCGGAGGAACACCAGAAGCGAAGGCGGCUCACUGGCCCGAUACUGACGCUGAGGCGCGAAAGCGUGGGGAGCAAACAGG
rnacentral:rRNA from 1 species